UCAUCGAGUCUUUGAACGCAAGUUGCGCCCGAGGCUUGUCCGAGGGCAUUUCCGCUAGAGCGUCAC
rnacentral:rRNA from 9 species